UGACAUCAUUUUCAUUUUUGGGUAAACUAACCCUUUAAUGAAAAUCCUGGCAGUUGGUUUUAUAGAUAGUUCGCUCAUAGUUGACCAGGAAAAGCACAUGAGAAAUCACAUGAGAAAUCAAGAUAAAUAAAACACAACACAAAAUAUAGCCAAUGUUCUUUCUUAGCCGAGGUGAAUAUCUGUUGUAUUUGUCAUAACAUCGCACAUCUGUCAACUUUUAUUCUGUUUGACAACUGGAGUUAUGUUCCAGAGAUAUUCAACUCCGUGAAGAAAGUACACUUUUUGUGCAUUUCUAGUCCUUUUAUUUCAUGUUGCAUUUUGAUUAAUCUUGUUUUCACAACUUGUUAGUUUUUCCUGGGUAAGUUAGAUUGAACUUGGUGUUAAUAGUAUCUUGUUAAGAUGGAGUCAUGCACAGGAACCAACAGUCAAGGUCAGGAUUUUUGCAAAAUAAUACUUUAAAUGUAAUUUUUAUUAUUUAUUCAUUUAUUUAUUGUUACAAACUCUAUCAUAUAGCGUACCUCCAGAACAUUUGGAAUGUACAACAAGUGUUGUAUGGGACCAUUCUGUGAUACUUUUGCAUUUUUUUAAAAAGCUUAUAUGCACAAGUGUGAGCAGGACAUAAAAAAAAUAAAUAAAAAAAACUCUUUUGUGACCCGAAAAAGAAAGAAUGGCAUACUAAAUUAGAACAUCUCCAGGGUGAGUAAAUUAUGUUUUAAUUUGAAUUUUUUGGUCACUAUCCUUUAAGGAUUUGAAGGGAUUAAUGAUUUCACCUACUCCGUUUGCUUUGCUGGUUUCCGUUUGUGUCAUCAGGGGCAAAUGUGCGAAUGGCUUAAGCUCACGUCUCACAGUAUUUUUUUUUUAGUCAGUGUUUGUAAAACAAAGAGGGGAAAAUAGAAAACAAAACAUUCCGAAUCCCAGCAUGCGUCCAGAUUUUAAAAAAAAGAAUGAUGUAUUUGUCAGGACAAUCUUUUCAUGACUAAUCAUCUUGGGACUACUUGGGAGUCAUAGGAAACGCAUCACCAGGAUCUAGUCAGAUCUAGUCAGGAUCUUGUCCUAAAGUGGGUCUGGCUCUAUCCAGAUCUUUCCUUUGGGUCUUUGUUUAGAAGUAUGCUGAAAGCCACGAAGAAAAUUAGUAGUAUUUUUUUUUAAAGAUAAUUUGUGAUAUUGCCAGAAUAUUUGUGUACUGAUUUAAUGGAAACAUUUAGACUUGUUUUGACUAAUAAAUAUGAAAAGGAAAUGUAUGACAGUGUACAGUGCACACAGGACCUCUGUGAGCUACGUGGCCCCUUGAAUUGAUUAGUAUCUGCAGUUCCUGGCAGAGGGCAGGCAAAGCAUAAUGAAACAAAAGACCAGGGAGCUGAGCCAUACUCUGAGAGCUUUGUUAUUUCCUGCUGUCUCUGUUCAUCUCGGCUACCAAAGGAAAACCUGUUAACAAAGGACCCAUACCAGUCCCACAAAUUCAAAACCAGCCAAUGAGGACCCAGGAAUUAACAAGAUAGAGAUGCACACAAACAAAAAAGUACUUUGGCUCUGCAGCUCGAGUGCUCCGGAUUGUCUGGCGAGCCUGUAAUGUCUCAUUCUCACUGGGGUACCAACUUGGUUAACAUCAUUCAGACAGAACAGGAAAAAUUGAUGACUUCUACCCAGACAAUUCCUGGUUAUUCAAGUUUCUGGCAGAGUGCAGGUAAUUAAGGGUCUGAGCUAGAUAUAAAGGUUACAGAUCCCAGGUUUGGACCACAUGUGGAUUGGUGGGAAAUCACAAGGGGUUGGAGGGUCUCACCCUGCUAAUUAAGUCCUCCAAAUGAAUGGGGUUGGGGGUCAAAAAAUUCUUAUACUGUACCUGUUUAAUUAUAUGUAUGUAAGGAACGUUUCAACAACAUUCUCAAAUGGUUUGGUAACCAUAAAUGUGUGUUUUUUUUUUAUACAUCAACUACUUAGUCAGACUAAGUCAUUUGCCUGACAUAGAAUAAAUGCUUGUCAGCUGCAUUCACAUAAGGAACUUUGACAAAACAUUGAUGCAUUUCUAUCAUGUUUUUAUAGAAAGAUAUAUUGCAAGUACAUCAGAAGCACAUUAGUCCAUCAAUCCAUCCAUUAUCUAAACAAACUGUCCUAUGUAAGGUUGCCUAUUCCAGCAUAUUGGGUUAUAGGCAAGGAAACGCUAUGGAUGACUGCCCUCUCCAUUUGUGUUUUGAAUGAAAUGUCUUUAAGAUAUCGGAUGCUUUGAAUAACUGGGGAUGCCAGGUGGGUUGUGUGGCAGUUGGUCUUUGUACCACAAUGUGUGAACAGCAUCACUACCAUGAUCUAUAUUUUAAAAUGCUAAACCCCAGGCCACUCUAAUGGUACUGUUUUUUGUGUAAUUUGAAAACCUUGAGUGACUUGAGAUAAAAAGCAUCCAUUAAAACCAAGGUAACCAUGACAUACUGCUUUACUGUAUAUGUACACUUCUGUUGAAGACUGUUUGCUCCCUCAUCUCUGUAAAUGUAUUCCCCUUGAGAGUUGGUCUCUCUGCACACAGUACUGAAGUACCUUCCUGAACAUUAUUGACUCUGACAUAUGGUUAAGUGGCCACCAAUUAUGCUGGUCCACUCACUGCUGGGUGUGCCAUAUCCUCUCCUCCAUUCUUAUGAGCAGACCUGGGAAACAGUGUUGUAUCCCCCAAAUUCAUUUGAAAGCAAAUAAAUAAGCAAAGAUAAAUAAAAUGCAGACAAAAACAAUAAAGCUAAGCAACAAAUCAAAACGCAACAAAAGAAAAAGAAACAAAACUGCCAGCACAAAACAAAACAUCACAGAAUUAAACAAAAUAAAAACAGUGAAAAUAGUAAUCAAAUGUCUGUCUAUAACUGUACUGCAUCACAAACAAAACAUCACAGAAUUAAACAAAAUAAAAACAGUGAAACUGAACUAAAAAAAAAACAACAAAAUAAUACUAAGAAGGCAAUCAUAUGUCUGCUUAUACCUGCAUUACAACAUAAAACACAAUAGAAGAAAACCGAACAAAAGCAGCAAAACGGAGCAAAACUAAAUGGCUGCCGUUGCAUCAUCCAAGUGGAUGCUGCACACUGCUGGUGGAUGUGGAGAUACCCCCUGACAAUGUAAAGCACUUUGAGUGCUUAGAAAAGCGCUAUAUAAAUGUAAGGAAUUAUAUAAUAUUGCACUCUACAAUAUUUCUAUGUAUAAAUCUCUGAUGGAGACUAUCAGCCAAUCACUAUGUGCAUAGUUAGUAAGCAUGCUGACAUCGUCCAUAACCCCACCAUUACUCUUAGCUUAAGACUUCUCUACUCCUUACUAAAAGUUUGUCUCAGAAGCUUUGUGAAUAGCUAAAAACGUUUACGUCUAUUUAGGAGAACCCUUAGUGUUAAGAUAAAAUGUUUUGUGAAUACGGGCCCUGAUGUCUGUCUUUACUUUACAAUGGAAAUAAAACAAAAGCUAAACCAAUUAAGCUAAACAACAAAACAGAACAAACAAAACCAGACAUAGAACAAAACUAAAUCAAACAACAGGACAGAAUUAAACAAAAUGAAACAAAUAUGGUAAUCAGAUGUCAGUCUACACCUGCACUACUAGUGUCGCGUAACACAGCCUGGCACUGCAGUUCAACAUCAAGGUAUUCUUGUACAACCAGUUGCUUCUUGAGAAAUCCUUGUCAUCAGCAUCAGUGUGACACCUAUAGUAAAUAUAAGUCCAUAAGUCCUGUGUUAUGAACAGCCAUUGUGUUGAGAAUAAAGGGAAACCCUCCCUUCAUUGAAAAGCAGGGCCAUUUUCUUCUUCCUGCUGAGAGUGAAGAGUGGCCAACUCACGUGACUGUCCAAACCUGAAGCAUGGAGCUGAUGUUUAGUCAGCUGAAAAACAUAAACAGAAGACGGAUAGCUGAUUGGAGGGAGGAAAAUGUGGGUGGUGAUGGACUCUCUGAAAACCACAGGAAACACCUGUGCCCACUUCACUGCGCUGCGCUCACAGGCAGGGGUCUGCAGUGUGACGUAGACCUGUAUUGUGCCUCAGUCCAGUCCUGGGACAAAGGUGUUUAUACUCAAUUAGUCAAAGCACACAGUAAUGGAACUGCUGUUUGUUGUUUAGCUUGUGAAGUCAACCGUCCUGAUGUUAUUGUUGAUGUUGGGUUGUUUGCAUGUGAUGUGGUAAUUCAUAAAGAGAACACCAUAGCAACCAAUUAGCACAUUAUAAACACACUUUUAGAACAUCAUAGCAAUAUACUAAAAUAAAAACCUAAGCCGCGUCCGAAAUCGCAUACUUCCAUACUAUAUAGUAGGCGAAAAACAGUAUGCGAAGCAAGUAGUAUGUCCGAAUUCUCAGUAUUCGAAAAACAGUAGGCGAGAUGUACCCGGAUGGCCUACUACUUCCGGCCGAAUUCCGUAGUAUGCAUAGGAUGGACACUUCUCUAUCCCAUGAGGCACCGGGAGAGGGCUCGUCAUACUCAUAUUCGAAAAUAACGGAAAAUCGGAGGAUCGUGACGCCGCUGUUUUGAAGUAGACUGAUGAACACAAUCUUGUUCUCAUCCACUGAUGAAACCCUAUUCACUGGAAAGCAUAAUUCAGCAAUCUGCUCUUGAAGAGCUGCACACGGUCGUCUGCUGUGACACAGCUGUGGUCCGUUUGUCCCGCACAUGCUCUUCUGUGCUGACUUCUGUGUUUUGGGGUUCCAGUGUAUCAUCGUCAUGAUCCUCCACAACUUCUGGAUCCGCAAUGUCCGCAUUCAGAAGACGGAGGUUGUGGAGCACUGCACAGCAUGCAUCAACAUCUGCACAAAGGCAGAACUCACUUCCAUGGCCUUGAAGAAGAAGAAGAUGGAGCACAGCUGGUCUUCAUCAUCUGAAGGCUCUCUCAACAAUGUUCUGUGCACGAGCAUCAUUGGUAUUGAAUCAAAGCUGUGCAGGAUUCUGUUCAGGCUCUCUGUCUGCUGUGAUGAGGCAGAUGAACACUCACACAAGGACACACACACCAUCUCCCAGGAUGUGUUUUCCUGCAGGUGGAUAGGCCUCCAGAGUUCUUCAGCACCCUGGCAUCAUACACAGACCCGGGAUACUCAACAAAGAUAUCAAGGUACUUCCCAUGGUGGUGACCUGCAGCUGAACAGAAUGAAACCACUUCCUGUUGAAAUAACAUUGGGCUUCACUUGCUGGAGGUUCAGUUUGUAUGUGACAGCAAUCUAUUGUUCCAGCUACCAGAAGAAAAGCUGCUUCCACUGCCUCCAGGUCAUCUGUGGUGGAGAAGGCAAUCAGCCUCCUCAAAAUCCCCAUGACAGACCUGACCUGCUCAUUCUGUGCACAAUGUUAUGCAGCUCUUGGAUGUCAAAGGCCAGUGACAGCAGUCUGUAUGAUGCUGUUCACAGUCCGUAAAUAUGUAGUUUUUGUUUUUUAGAAUAAAAUUUCAAUAGGUUACACAUUUUUUUGCUGAUAUAUCUAUAUCUAACUAUAUAUAUUUAUA